CGGAGUGUAGCGUAGCUGGCUAAUCGCGCUUGCCCUGGGAGCAAGAGGACGAGGGUUCGAAUCCUUCCACUCCGA
rnacentral:tRNA from 1 species